rnacentral:tRNA from 1 species
GGGAGGGUAGCUCGGUGAUAGAGUGCUUGCCUAGUGUUCAUGAGGCCUAGGUUCAAACCCUAGUCCCA